GGCAGGGCGCUGUGGCUCAGUGGCAGAGAAUCUGCUUAGCAUGCAGAACAUCCCAGGUUCGAUUCCUGCCCUCACCA
rnacentral:tRNA from 1 species